GACGAACGCUGGCGGCGUGCUUAACACAUGCAAGUCGAACGGAAAGGCCUCUUUCGGGGGGUACUCGCGUGGCGAACGGGUGAGUAACACGUGAGUAUAAUGCCCCUGACUUUGGGAUAACUUCAGGAAACUGGGGCGAAUACCGGAUAUGAGCUCCUGCUGCAUGGUGGGGGUGUGAGAGUUUCGGCGGUUGGGGGUGGACUCGCGGCUUAUCAGCUUGUUGGGGUGGGAGUGGCUUACCAAAGCUUUGUCGGGUAGCCCGCCUGAGAGGGUGACCGGCCACACUGGGACUGAGAGACGGCCCAGACUCCUACAGGGGGCAGCGGUGGGGAGUAUUGCACAAUGGGUGCAAGACUGAGGCAGCGACGCCGUGUGCGGGAUGACGGCCUUCGGGUUGUAAACCGCUUUCGCUCAUGACGAAGCUUUGUGUGACGGUAAUGGGGAAAGGAGCAACGGCUAACUACGUG
rnacentral:rRNA from 1 species